UACGUAGGGUGCAAGCGUUGUCCGGAAUUAUUGGGCGUAAAGAGCUCGUAGGCGGUUUGUCGCGUCUGCUGUGAAAACCCGAGGCUCAACCUCGGGCCUGCAGUGGGUACGGGCAGACUAGAGUGCGGUAGGGGAGAUUGGAAUUCCUGGUGUAGCGGUGGAAUGCGCAGAUAUCAGGAGGAACACCGGUGGCGAAGGCGGUUCUCUGGGCCUUACCUGACGCUGAGGAGCGAAAGCGUGGGGAGCAAACAGG
rnacentral:rRNA from 1 species